GAUGAACGCUGGCGGCGUGCCUAAUACAUGCAAGUCGAGCGAACAGAUGAGGAGCUUGCUCCUCUGACGUUAGCGGCGGACGGGUGAGUAACACGUGGAUAACCUACCUAUAAGACUGGGAUAACUACGGGAAACCGGAGCUAAUACCGGAUAAUAUAUUGAACCGCAUGGCUCAAUAGUGAAAGACGGUUUUGCUGUCACUUAUAGAUGGAUCCGCGCCGCAUUAGCUAGUUGGUAAGGUAACGGCUUACCAAGGCAACGAUGCGUAGCCGACCUGAGAGGGUGAUCGGCCACACUGGAACUGAGACACGGUCCAGACUCCUACGGGAGGCAGCAGUAGGGAAUCUUCCGCAAAGGGCGAAAGCCUGACGGAGCAACGCCGCGUGAGUGAUGAAGGUCUUCGGAUCGUAAAACUCUGUUAUUAGGGAAGAACAAAUGUGUAAGUAACUAUGCACGUCUUGACGGUACCUAAUCAGAAAGCCACGGCUAACUACGUG
rnacentral:rRNA from 1 species